AUNACUAUUGNAAACGAUAGCUAAUACCGCAUAACANCAUUUAACCCAUGUUAGAUGCUUGAAAGGAGCAAUUGCUUCACUAGUAGAUGGACCUGCGUUGUAUUAGCUAGUUGGUGAGGUAACGGCUCACCAAGGCGACGAUACAUAGCCGACCUGAGAGGGUGAUCGGCCACACUGGGACUGAGACACGGCCCAGACUCCUACGGGAGGCAGCAGUAGGGAAUCUUCGGNAAUGGGGGCAACCCUGACCGAGCAACGCCGCGUGAGUGAAGA
rnacentral:rRNA from 1 species